AUUGAACGCUGGCGGCAUGCCUUACACAUGCAAGUCGAACGGCAGCAUGGAGAGCUUGCUCUCUGAUGGCGAGUGGCGAACGGGUGAGUAAUGCAUCGGAACGUACCGUGUAAUGGGGGAUAACGUAGCGAAAGUUACGCUAAUACCGCAUACGACCUGAGGGUGAAAGCAGGGGAUCGCAAGACCUUGCGUUAUACGAGCGGCCGAUGUCAGAUUAGCUGGUUGGUGAGGUAAAGGCUCACAAAGGCGACGAUCUGUAGCGGGUCUGAGAGGAGGGUCCGCCACACGGGGACUGAGACAGGGCCCAGACUCCUACGGGAGGCAGCAGUGGGGAAUUUUGGACAAUGGGGGAAACCCUGAUCCAGCCAUGCCGGGUGGGUGAAGAAGGCCUUCGGGUUGAAAAGCUCUUUCGGCCGGGAAGAAAUCGCACAGGCUAAUACUCUGUGUGGAUGACGGUACCGGCAUAAGAAGCACCGGCUAACUACGUGCCAGCAGCCGCGGUAA
rnacentral:rRNA from 1 species